CCUACGGGGCGCAGCAGUGGGGGAUAUUGGACAAUGGGGGGAACCCUGAUCCAGCGACGCCGCGUGAGUGAAGAAGUAUUUCGGUAUGUAAAGCUCUGUCAGCAGGGAAGAAAGCAAUGACGGUACCUGACCAAGAAGCCCCGGCUAACUACGUGCCAGCAGCCGCGGUAAUACGUAGGGGGCAAGCGUUAUCCGGAAUUACUGGGUGUAAAGGGAGCGUAGACGGCUGUGCAAGUCUGGAGUGAAAUCCCGGGGCUUAACCCCGGAACUGCUUUGGAAACUGUUGAACUGGAGUACAGGAGAGG
rnacentral:rRNA from 1 species